CCUACGGGGGGCAGCAGUGGGGAAUAUUGCGCAAUGGGCGCAAGCCUGACGCAGCGACGCCGCGUGAGGGAUGAAGGUCUUAGGAUCGUAAACCUCUGUCAGCAGGGGAGAAAGGUCACUGUGCUAAUCAGCAGUGAAUUGACGGUACCUGCAAAGGAAGCACAGGCUAACUCCGUGCCAGCAGCCGCGGUAAUACGGAGGGUGCGAGCGUUAAUCGGAAUUACUGGGCGUAAAGCGCGCGUAGGCGGUAUGUCAAGGCAAGGGUGAAAUCCCCGGGCUCAACGUGGGAACUGCCUUUGAAACUGGCAAACUGGAGUGUGUGAGCGGAUAGGGGAAUUCCAGGUGUAGGAGUGAAAUCCGUAGAGAUC
rnacentral:rRNA from 1 species